rnacentral:rRNA from 1 species
GGUUCGAUUCCGGAGAGGGAGGCUGAGAAACGGCUACCACAUCUAAGGAAGGCAGCAGGCGCGUAAAUUACCCAAUCCUGAUUCAGGGAGGUAGUGACAAGAAAUAACAACCCGGGGGAUUCACGUCCUUACGGGAUUGCAAUGAGAACAAUUUAAAUCACUUAACGAGGAUCAAUUGGAGGGCAAGUCUGGUGCCAGCAGCCGCGGUAAUUCCAGCUCCAAUAGUGUAUAUUAAAGUUGUUGCAGUUAAAAAGCUCGUAGUUGAACUUCUGGCAGUGUGCAGUUAUGGUUCUUAUCAGGCUGCAUUGCUGCCAUCCGUCUGCAAACCCUAUGCAACCUUUAGUGGCUUGGUGGGGGGAGUAGACAUUUUACUUUGAAAAAAUUAGAGUGUUUCAAGCAGGUUAUCGCCAGAAUACUUUAGCAUGGAAUAAUGGAACAGGACUCUUGUCCAUUUGGUUGGUUAUUGGACCAGAGUAAUGAUUAACAGGGACAGUUGGGGGCAUUAGUAUUUAAUUGUCAGAGGUGAAAUUCAUGGAUUUAUUAAAGACUAACUUAUGCGAAAGCAUUUGCCAAGGAUGUUUUCAUUAAUCAAGAACGAAAGUUAGGGGAUCAAAGACGAUCAGAUACCGUCCUAGUCUUAACUAUAAGCGAUGUCGACUCGGGAUUGGAAAGGUAUCUUUAUCCUUUCCAGCACCGUAUGAGAAAUCAUUAAGUCUUUGGAUUCUGGGGGGAGUACGGUCGCAAGGCUGAAACUUAAAGGAAUUGACGGAAGAGCACCACCAGGCGUGGGACCUGCGGCUUAAUUUGACCCAACACGGGAAAACUUAUUUCAGCAAAACAUGAGUGGGAUUGACAGAUUGAGAGCUCUUUCUUGAUUUUAUGGGGUGUGGUGCAUGGCCGUUCUUAGUUGGUGGAGUGAUUUGUCUGGUUAAUUCCGUUAACGAACGAGACCUUAACCUGCUAACUAGUCAGGGUGUUAAACUACGCUACUGUACUUCUUAGAGGGACUAUGGGUAACAAGCCCAUGGAAGUUUGAGGCAAUAACAGGUCUGUGAUGCCCAUAGAUGUUGAAAGCGGCACGCGCGUCAUACUGUCCAGUAACAGCAAGUUUACUUCCUCUGCCGGAAGGCUAGGGGUAAUCUAUAAAACUGGACGUGGUAGGGAUAGAUCUUUGGAAUUAUAGAUCUUGAACGAAGAAUGCCUAGUAAGUGCAAGUCAUCAACUUGUGCUGAUUACGUCCCUGUCCUUUGUACACACCGCCCGUCGCUCCUACCGAUUUCGAGCGAUAUGGUGAAUCUCCUGGACCGUGAAGUUCGGCUUUAUGGAAAGUCUAGUAAACCUUAUCGCUUAGAGGAAGGAAAAGUCGUAACAAGGUA